rnacentral:rRNA from 1 species
CUACGGGCGGCUGCAGUGAGGAAUAUUGGUCAAUGGGGGCAACCCUGAACCAGCCAUGCCGCGUGAAGGAAGACUGCCCUAUGGGUUGUAAACUUCUUUUAUAUGGGAAUAAUUCUGUUACGAGUAACAGGUUGAAUGUACCAUAUGAAUAAGCAUCGGCUAACUCCGUGCCAGCAGCCGCGGUAAUACGGAGGAUGCAGGCGUUAUCCGGAUUUAUUAGGUUUAAAGGGUGCGUAGGCGGACUUUUAAGUCAGUGGUGAAAGUUUGCGGCUUAACCGUAAAAUAGCCAUUGAUACUGGAAGUCUUGAGUAUACAGGAGGUAGGCGGAAUGUGUAGUGUAGCGGUGAAAUGCUUAGAUAUUACACAGAACACCGAUUGCGAAGGCAGCUUACUAUAGUAUAACUGACGCUGAUGCACGAAAGCGUGGGGAGCGAACAGGAUUAGAUACCCGAGUAGUC